UGGGGAAUAUUGCACAAUGGGCGCAAGCCUGAUGCAGCCAUGCCGCGUGUAUGAAGAAGGCCUUCGGGUUGUAAAGUACUUUCAGCGGGGAGGAAGGGAGUAAAGUUAAUACCUUUGCUCAUUGACGUUACCCGCAGAAGAAGCACCGGCUAACUCCGUGCCAGCAGCCGCGGUAAUACGGAGGGUGCAAGCGUUAAUCGGAAUUACUGGGCGUAAAGAGCACGCAGGCGGUUUGUUAAGUCAGAUGUGAAAUCCCCAGGCUCAACCUGGGAACUGCAUCUGAUACUGGCAAGCUUUAGUCUCGUAGAGGGGGGUAGAAUUCCAGGUGUAGCGGUGAAAUGCGUAGAGAUCUGGAGGAAUACCGGUGGCGAAGGCGGCCCCCUGGACGAUGACUGACGCUCAGGUGCGAAAGCGUGGGGAGCAAACAGG
rnacentral:rRNA from 1 species